GAUCAUGGCUCAGGAUGAACGCUAGCUACAGGCUUAACACAUGCAAGUCGAGGGGAAACGACAUCGAAAGCUUGCUUCCGAUGGGCGUCGACCGGCGCACGGGUGAGUAACGCGUAUCCAACCUGCCCACCACUUGGGGAUAACCUUGCGAAGGUAAGACUAAUACCCAAUGACAUCCCACGAGGACAUCUGAAUGGGAUUAAAGAUUUAUCGGUGAUGGAUGGGGAGUGCGU
rnacentral:rRNA from 1 species